ensembl:lncRNA
CUCUUGUGCGUCAUUGCCCGAGGCCCGCCCCUUCCUGGCUUAGACUCUUCCUGUCUUGCAGUUCCCGACAUAUAACUGUCUCAUGUUGCUUGGCGACUGCUUUUAAAUGCACUCCCGCUGCAUUCCCAUACCUUCUUGCCGGUUUGAUGUCUGUUUGCGUGUGCGGCUGGACGUGUGAUCAUAGCUACAAUAAAAAGGUGGAACAGUUUUAAGGAGGACUCAUUCAGUGCAGCCUGCGCGCAAAUGUAUUUUGAUGCUGCUGCUUUGUUUAUGUUGUUUCAUGUCUGUUUUGAAAUCUAACGCAGAG